GACGAACGCUGGCGGCGCGCCUAACACAUGCCAGUCGAACGAGCGAGAGAGAGCUUGCUUUCUCGAGCGAGUGGCGAACGGGUGAGUAACGCGUGAGGAACCUGCCUCAAAGAGGGGGACAACAGUUGGAAACGACUGCUAAUACCGCAUAAGCCCACGGUGCCGCAUGGCACAGAGGGAAAAGGAGCAAUCCGCUUUGAGAUGGCCUCGCGUCCGAUUAGCUAGUUGGUGAGGUAAUGGCCCACCAAGGCGACGAUCGGUAGCCGGACUGAGAGGUUGAACGGCCACAUUGGGACUGAGACACGGCCCAGACUCCUACGGGAGGCAGCAGUGGGGAAUAUUGCACAAUGGGGGAAACCCUGAUGCAGCGACGCCGCGUGGAGGAAGAAGGUCUUCGGAUUGUAAACUCCUGUUGUUGGGGAAGAUAAUGACGGUACCCAACAAGGAAGUGACGGCUAACUACGUG
rnacentral:rRNA from 1 species